rnacentral:rRNA from 1 species
UAGAUUGGUUAAGGCUCCCAGUAGACGACUGGGUUGAUAGGCCAGAUGUGGAAGCCCGGUAACGGGUGGAGCUGACUGGUACUAAUAGGCCGAGGGCUUGUCCUC